CCCAGACCCCUCAUUCAUGCGUACAUGGUGUGUUGGUCACACACGUGGCCUUCAGCUAUUGCUAUCUCCCUGUAAUAUGCUAUCUCACAGAAAGGUCCCUUUUCAAAAAAUGCCCCCCCACGGGAAAAUCCUUAAAAAAGGCUCUGAUUCUUUAGCUAUCCUUAUCGCUAUGUAAGUGCUUCAGACUUCAGUUAUUAUUAAUAAGUGUUAGUCAAGAGUGGACAGGAAUAUUCGAACGGAAAUU